UCUGGCUUCCACGAUUAAUCAUUUCCUUGAAUUGGUUCAGCGACUCUUGCCUCUGCAUCCUCAUCUCCUCGUUGAACUUCUUAAUGAACGCCUCCACUCGGCGGUUUAACUCGUCCUGACUCAGCGACGGGUCUUUUUUUCUUUUCUCAGCUUCCCUGGUGCAGGAGAGUUUCCCACAGGUGGCAGCUGGUAAUUGGUCCUGUCCUUGAACGUCUCUGAUUUCUUUGGAAGAAAAGGGUCCACUUCAGAAACGUGGAUUUGACGCCCGUCAUUCUCUAACGUCUCAGUCUCACAUCUCUUCAAGUGUCUUGUUAACGGCAUUGCUCGGCCUUCCGUUAUCAUUUUCCACGUGUUCUCCAGCGUCUCGUGCCGUUUAGGCUUUGUAACUCCUCUCAACGC
rnacentral:misc_RNA from 1 species